GCGUAUAUUAAAGUUGUUGCAGUUAAAAAGCUCGUAGUUGGAUUUCUGGUUGAAGCGACCGGUCGGGCGUUGAUUCGUCUGCACUGGAGUCGGUUUUGGCCAUCCUCUAGGAAAGUGCGUCUGGUAUUAAGUUGUCGGGCGUAUGAUCCUGGUCUUUUACUGUGAAAAAAUUAGAGUGUUUAAAGCAGGCCUUCGCCUUGAAUACAUUAGCAUGGAAUAAUAAGAUAGGACUUUGGUCUAUUUUGUUGGUUUGCAGACCGAAGUAAUGAUUAAUAGGGAUAGUUGGGGGUAUUUAUAUUCCGAUGUCAGAGGUGAAAUUCUUAGAUUUUCGGAAGAUAAACUUAUGCGAAAGCAUUUACCAAGGAUGUUUUCAUUAAUCAAGAACGAAAGUUAGGGGAUCGAAGAUGAUUAGAUACCAUCGUAGUCUUAACCAUAAACUAUGCCGACUCAGGAUUGGUGGACGUUUAUUUAAUGACUCCAUCAGCACUGUAUGAGAAAUCAAAGUCUUUGGGUUCCGGGGGGAGUAUGGUCGCAAGGCUGAAACUU
rnacentral:rRNA from 1 species